GACGCUGGCGGCAGGCUUACACAUGCAAGUCGAGCGGAAACGAUGGGAGCUUGCUCCCAGGCGUCCAUCGGGGGACGGGUGAGUAAUACUUAGGAAUCUACCUAGUAGUGGGGGAUAGCUCGGGGAAACUCGAAUUAAUACCGCAUACGUCCUGCGGGAGAAAGGGGGCAGUUUACUGCUCUCUCUAUAAGAUGAGCCUAAGUCGGAUUAGCUAGUUGGUGGGGUAAAGGCCUACCAAGGCGACGAUCUGUAGCUGGUCUGAGAUGAUGAUCAGUCACCCCAUGACUGAGAGACGGCCCGGACUCCUACCCCCCGUCGCGGUAGCGAAUAUUGCACAAUGCCAGAAACCCUUCUCCACCCAUCCCCCCCGUGUGCCGCACAUCUUAUGGUU
rnacentral:rRNA from 1 species